rnacentral:lncRNA from 13 species
GAAAAAUCGUUUCCCUCUUUAAAGCUUUGCUUUUUCUUCUUUAUCGAAUGGCAAUGAAAAGAAUUCUUUCAGGCCUAACUCCCUUUCAGAGUUGAAGUGUAAAAACUUUUGACACGAAAAGUAGACAAGACUUCCUAAGCUGUGCAAUACUGUCAGGUGCAUCCAAGAAGGAAGUUUGCCAUGGAAACACAGGAAGUAUCAGAGCCGGGCAACAAGGGAAGCUUUUCUUGUGGUAUCCACACUGGAAGCAGCUCUCUUCCCACCAAAAGCCCUGGAGGUACAUGACACUUCUCUUUGCAAUGGCACAGGAUAUAGAGACUAAUAUCUAUUUAUGACAGCAAGCAGCCAGAGAUGACAGUCUGCAGAGCAUAUUUGGAGAAAGCAACCUCAUGACAAAUGGAGUCAGAGGGGAAUUUGAAUGAAACGUGAACUUUGUAUAAUUACAGAUGGAGAAAUGGCAUUAAAUAAUUGGCAUGAAAAGUCUUGACACAGGACAGUGACCCCUUCAGUCCAGAUGGUGUGAGACACAGACAGAGAGGGACUCAGUAGAGGGCAACAGAAAAGCCAGAUGUGAAAGACAGAGGAAGGACAGCCACAGGGGACCGGAGCAGACACUCCCCUUGGCCACAUCUGGCCAAUUAAAAAUUUUUUCUUAGUUGUGUGGGAUUAUACGGUAUUAUCAGUUCCUUAUUGAAUACCAUUUACAGUUAACUGUAUAUUCAGUUCAGCUUAGGUUCUCGAUAUGUAUAUUGUAUGCAGUUCUUGUUCCACAGUGGGGUUUGAGUUAUUCUCAAAACAU